GCAAGAGGAUUGUGUGAGCCCAGGAAAUCGAGGCACAGUAACCUACACUACACUCCAGCCUGGGUGACAGAAUAAGACCUUAUCUUUAAAAAAAAAAAAAAAAAAAAAAAAAGAUCUAGGCCUCAGGGUCCCCCAUGCCUGAGACCUUAGCCCUCUGGACGUCUCCACAUUUGAUAGCAAUUGGUCUCCAAUUUCUCUAGGUCCUGGCGGCCUCUGUGCCCUAGACUAGGGCCCUGGGUGAUCUUCUGGCAAGAGCUCAGUGCCAGGGGUCUCAGCAUGAUUUGAAACGUUUGAGGCCCUAACUAGUUAAGUCUCAUGGCCUGGGGCUCCCUCAGUGCAAAACUCCGUCCCUGAGGGUUGCUUUAUUAAAGACAGUAGCCUCCAGGGGUGCCUCACUGCUGAGGCCCUGUCCUGGAGGGCUUCUGUGUCCAAGACCCUGUUCCUACAGUUAGUACAUCUGUGACCCCAGCUUGUGGAACCCCUGUGUAGGAGAAGCCAGUCUUCUAAUGUCUCCUUCCUCCUGUGCCUGUUACCAAUGUACCGCCUCUCAGCUUCAGAUGCACCCGCGGAGUUAAGCUUUGU